rnacentral:rRNA from 1 species
AGAAUUUGAUCAUGGCUCAGGAUGAACGCUAGCUACAGGCUUAACACAUGCAAGUCGAGGGGCAGCAUUUUUAGUUUGCUUGCAAACUGAAGAUGGCGACCGGCGCACGGGUGAGUAACACGUAUCCAACCUGCCGAUAACUCCGGAAUAGCCUUUCGAAAGAAAGAUUAAUACCGGAUAGCAUACGAAUAUCGCAUGAUAUUUUUAUUAAAGAAUUUCGGUUAUCGAUGGGGAUGCGUUCCAUUAGUUU